UACGGAGGGGGCUAGCGUUGUUCGGAAUUACUGGGCGUAAAGCGUGCGCAGGCGGUUUGCUAAGACAGGUGUGAAAUCCCCGGGCUUAACCUGGGAACUGCGCUUGUUACUGGCAGGCUUGAGUGUGGCAGAGGGGGGGUGGAAUUCCGACGUGUAGCAGUGAAAUGCGUAGAUAUCAGGAGGAAUACCGAUGGCGAAGGCAGGUCUCUGGGCUGACACUGACGCUCAUGCACGAAAGCGUGGGGAGCGAAACAA
rnacentral:rRNA from 1 species